rnacentral:misc_RNA from 1 species
GAUGAAGAACGCAGCGAAAUGCGAUAAGUAAUGUGAAUUGCAGAAUUCAGUGAAUCAUCGAAUCUUUGAACGCACAUUGCGCCCUCUGGUAUUCCGGAGGGCAUGCCUGUCCGAGCGUCAUUGCUGCCCUCAAGCACGGCUUGUGUGUUGGGCCUCCGUCCUCCUCCCGGGGGACGGGCCCGAAAGGCAGCGGCGGCACCGCGUCCGGUCCUCGAGCGUAUGGGGCUUCGUCACCCGCUCUUGUAGGCCCGGCCGGCGCUUGCCGACACAUCAAUCUUUUUUCCAGGUUGACCUCGGAUCAGGUAGGGAUACCCGCUGAACUUAAGCAUAUCAAUAAGCGGAGGA